rnacentral:piRNA from 1 species
UGAAAUCGUUAUCCCUAUACU